rnacentral:tRNA from 1 species
UCCCUGGCAGUCCAGUGGUUAAGACUCUGUGUUUACAAUGCAGGGAGCACAAGUUCAAUCCCUGGUCGGGGAA